rnacentral:rRNA from 1 species
AGUGAACGCUGGCGGCGUGGAUUAGGCAUGCAAGUCGAGCGAUCUCGCAAGGGAUAGCGGCAAACGGGUGAGGAAUACAUAGGUAAUCUUCCCCUAAAUCAGAAAUAGCCCUAUGAAAGUAGGGGUAAUGUCUGAUAGUAUCACGAAAAUGCAUAUUUUGUGAUUAAAGACUGGGACCGUAAGGCCAGUCGUUUAGGGAUGAGCCGAUGUCUUAUCAGCUAGUUGGUGGGGUAACGGCCUACCAAGGCUAAGACAAGUAGCUGGUCUGAGAGGAUGGUCAGCCACACUGGGACUGAGACACUGCCCAGACUCCUACGGGAGGCUGCAGUCGAGGAUAUUUAGCAAUGGGCGAAAGCCUGACUAUGCGACGCCGCGUGAGGGAGUGAAGGUUUUCGGAUCGUAAACCUCUUUUGGCAGGAAAGAAACCUUACAAGUUAAUAGCUUGUAAGCUGACGGUACCUGCAGAAUAAGCCACGGCUAACUCCGUGCCAG